rnacentral:lncRNA from 1 species
CAAUUCUAAAGUUCUACUGUGGGUAAAAACGCAAUGAAACAGCAUCAUAGACUACAGAGAAAUCUUUUGUGAAAAGAAGAGUCAGUCAAUGCAGCAAACUUCAUUGUUGUCUUAUUUUUAGAAAUUGCCACUGUCACCCCAGCCUUCAACAACCACCACCCUGAUCAGUCAGCAGCCGUCAAUGAGGCAAGAUCCACCAGAAACAGAAACAGACUAGGACUCUCUGAAAGCUCAGCUGAUUGUUAACAUUUUCUGGCAAUAUUUUUAAUCAAGUAAUUGUUCUUUCUGCUUCUUCAAUCUGCUAAAUACAAGAUGUCAAAUAUCAGUCACACGACUCUCUACUUAAAUUUCAAUUUUAGCAACAACACAAUCUAAAUCUUGCUCUUCACCUGCUUCCCCGGAGUCUCCAAUUAUGUAAGUAAUUCUCAGAUAAUCGUCUCUUAGUCAUGUUCAGUCACGGGAAUGUGUAAUUUCAGGAAUUCAAAUUCCUAAAUCUAUAUAAUAACAAAAUUUUUGAAUUUUAUGCAAAGCUAAAAUUUUUCUUUUUCCUUUGGCUCCAACUGAACUCAGAUGAGAAAAUCAGCACAGAAAAAGGUAGUGUAGAUGAUUCCUCUCUUUGUCUCGGGAGAGAAUCUCAGGGGGUUCUUGGAUACAUCCCUGCGGAGCCCUGUCACAACUCCUGACAUGGGCAAUGAACCUGCACUUGUGUGUUGUGUAGUUUUGAUUCUUCCUCACCCUCAAACCAGGUGUCUCAUAUUUUCUGUUAGAGCGCUAUAUCCCACCUAUCACUCUUCAUGCAUGGCAGCUGUCUUAUUAUACUAUUGCUGCUGUAACAAAUAAGCACAAAUUUAGUAAGAAAAACAACAAAAAUUAUUCUCUUACAGUUUUAGAGGGUUGGAGUCUGAAAAGUCUUAUGGAGCUAAUAUCAAGGUUACAGCAGGGCUGAAUCUGUUCCUCUACUCAUCCAGCUUCUCAUGUCUGCCAGCGUUCCCUCACUUGUGGUUUUGUCUUUCCAGCUUCUGUUCCCAUGACUGCACUGCCUCCUCCUUUUCUGUACUCAAAUCUCCCCCUGCAUCCCUUUUAUAAGGAUACUUGGGGUUACAUUUUAAGCUGACUUUGAUAAUCCAAAAUAAUCCUUCAAUCUCAAGAUCCUCAAUCUCUUCUCACUUCUCCUAAGUAUCUCUUGCCCUAUAAGGUAGCAUUCACAGCUUCCAAUGAUUAUGACCUGGAUAUACUUGGAGCCAUUAUUCAGCCUACUAUAGAAUUUAGGAUGAGUCCAGGUUAUUCCCUGCUCUCAUCUGGACCCCUUUUACCUACAAGAAACAUUCACACGUAGUUUAUUAUAUGGAUGUGCAAUGGGUUCCCAGUGGAUCUUUCACAACUCUACCACCACAGGCUUCUGGGGGCAGGAUUCUCAACACCUGUUUUUCAAACCACACCUCACCUCCAUUCUCCAUGCUUUUUUGCUGCAUUCUGUGCAGCUGAGCUCUGACAACUGUAUCACACGGUCUUCCUCACCCUCUGGCUUCUGUCUGUUUUCAACCAUUGGAAAGCAUUGGUAGGAGAAGAGAAGCUGGGAUGAGAAAGUGGAAAAAUUAUAUAAUUCUCUAGCUCCUUCCUCAUUUUCAGGUCCUGGAAAUGGCUAGAAUCUGUCCUGAACUCUCGGCAUCUUCUGAUACUCAACGAUGGAGCACGGCGUGAACAUCAUCCUGCUGCCCUACACAAUAUUGUCUAGACUAUGAGUAGCUAAAAAAUCUAUUUGCAACUAAUAAUAAAGAAAUAAAAACAAAGUUCUGA